rnacentral:lncRNA from 1 species
UGUCUGUCUCCCCACAUUUCACUACUCGAACUUCAAUGAUCUAGCUUCUACAUCAAAAUCGUCAGUUAAGAAUCUGCCACAGAUCGAGAAAAUGGUGAUGGCUAUCGAGCAAGAACACCCCAAGAAGGCAUCUGGAUGGGCUGCAAGAGAUUCAUCUGGUGUUCUCUCUCCCUUCAAUUUCUACAGAAGGUACAUUGGCAACUAGUAUAACAUGUUCUUCCUCUUCGCAUUCGCAAUAAUACAUUUGUUCCGUGUUUCUAAAGUUGAUACAAUUGAUUUGAUUACAGGGAAACCGGAGAGAAAGACGUGACGUUCAAAGUGUUGUACUGUGGGAUUUGCCAUUCGGACCUUCACAUGGUCAAGAAUGAAUGGGGCUUCUCUACCUAUCCUCUGGUUCCAGGGUACGAUAGCUUUUUCUUUACUACCAGGACAUGCACUCUUUACUAGUGUAAUCAGUAAUCUAAUCUGAGCACAAUUUGGCAAUGCAGGCAUGAGAUUGUUGGUGAAGUUACGGAAGUAGGGAGCAAAGUACAAAAAUUUAAAGUUGGAGACAGAGUCGGUGUUGGAUGCAUUGUGGGAUCUUGCCGAUCUUGUGAAAAUUGUACCGACCACCUUGAGAACUACUGCCCCAAACAGAUACUCACUUACGGUGCCAAGUACUACGACGGAAGCACCACCUAUGGCGGUUACUCUGACAUUAUGGUGGCCGAUGAACACUUCAUAGUACGCAUCCCAGACAACUUGCCUCUUGAUGGUGCUGCGCCGCUCCUAUGUGCCGGGAUUACAACCUACAGCCCCCUGAGAUAUUUCGGACUUGACAAGCCCGGCAUGCAUGUAGGUGUGGUCGGCCUAGGCGGUUUAGGCCACGUCGCCGUGAAGUUUGCCAAGGCUAUGGGAGUGAAGGUUACAGUGAUCAGUACGUCCCCUAAGAAAGAGGAGGAAGCUCUUAAACACCUAGGAGCUGACUCGUUUUUGGUUAGCCGUGACCAAGAUCAAAUGCAGGUAGUUUUUCGAACAAGUUACACCUUUUACAACGUUUAAAUGGACAAAAAAAUGAACAAGUUACUUAAUUUUUGUGUCAUUGAUUAAUUUGUAGGCUGCCAUUGGUACCAUGGAUGGGAUCAUUGACACAGUUUCUGCACAACAUCCUCUCCUGCCUUUGAUUGGUUUGUUGAACUCUCAUGGAAAGCUUGUUAUGGUUGGUGCACCAGAGAAGCCUCUUGAACUUCCAGUUUUUCCUUUACUCAUGGGUAAGCAUUAUAGCAUGUAACUAGAGGUCUAGAGUAGUGAUCUUUACCUGUUAUCUUCUGUGCGCAUUGUUGGGUUAUUAACAGAGUUUAAUGUUCGUCUUAACAGGAAGAAAGAUGGUAGCUGGUAGCGGCAUUGGGGGUAU